AGGAGUCAGCCCAGUGGAGGAGUGUCGUAAUGAAUUAUGGGCGUAUUCUGCCAAAGGAAGGAACCGGGCCCACUCCCCCUGCAUGUCCUGGCAGUGACUCCCUCAGGAAUCUCCCCAGCUCCUGGAUCAUCCUCUCCACUUGCCCGUUAGACUGAGGCCGGUACCCAAAAGUGAGGUGGACAAUGACCCCCAGCUUCUCUAUGAAGGCUUUCCAAACAUGGGACUUGAAUUUGGGGCCGUGGUAAGAAAUUAUGUCCUCCGGAAGGCCAUAGUAACGGAAGACCUGCUGGAACAGUGCCUCAGCGACCAGGAGAGUGGUAGGUAGACCAGAGAGGGAUUAAACAGCAGGAUUUAGAGAAUCUGUCAACAACCAGAAUAGUGGUAAAACCAUCAGAAGGGGGAGAUCCGCAAGGGGGAGCCUUCAGAAGGGGAAGCCUAUGGAUAGAUCUGACAAAGGCCGCUGAGGCACGGGAAGGACCUAUCCUCCACAUCCACCCUUCAUAAGGCCAAGAUAUUGCUGUGGUCACCCACCUGACCCAACAGGCUUCAACACACAUGGAAGAGAUCCACACAGCAGAUAUUUGAACAUACUGGGCCCGGAAUGAAGAUCAGCCCUGAGACAAAGUCCUGUGGUACCCAACGGACCAGCUCCAAGUCCUGUGGUCCAGAACAACCCAACAGUGGAGCCCCUGUUUGUGAGGUCCAAGACCAGCAGAAAAGCCUGGCUUGGUUUAGGGCAUAAGGCCCAACUCCCGGUUGACACCAAAUCUGUAAGAUUGUCAUUUCUCACACCCUGUCCAGAAAGAGUAGAAUAAUAUACAGAACUUUUGCACACCGAAUUGUUUGGCAACGGUUGAGGGAUAUGGUCGGAGAUUGUCAUCUUCCACAGGUCGUCUGGGAUCAGACACUAAAUAGAUGGAUAGGAGCUGGAGGCAAACUUAUUAAAAUAAAACUGACAGUCAUUGUAUUUGAAUGGUGAGCAUUUCAUAGAGUAUGUUUAGAUGUAAAUUGCAUUUAUUUCAUUUGAGCAAGCCUUCACCAGUGGAGAACAGGUUGUGUAUCCUCCCAUGGGUAACAAUAGUAGCAUGUACUCUGAAUGACAGGUUAAAGUCUCAACUUAAUUCUACAUGAGGCUUAACUCAUACUGCAUCAGCCAAUCAUGGCUCUGCCUGGUGUUCAACACCCAACAUCGGCUGUUUGCGCUCGACCAUUUAGCCUGAGAAUACACAAUUGAAUAUUUUAUCCAUGUUUAGAAUGCUGGGCACUGCCACGUACAAUAUGUGCAUGUUACGUAGUAAAUAGUGUGGUGUAGACUACAGGAACCCCAAUUUAAAAAAAUGAAGUGUCAAGCUUACCA